AUUGAACGCUGGCGGCAGGCCUAACACAUGCAAGUCGAGCGAGCGGCGGACGGGUGAGUAAUGUCUGGGAAACUGCAUGAUGGAGGGGGAUAACUACUGGAAACGGUAGCUAAUACCGCAUACCAUCAGAUGUGCCCAGAUGGGAGUAGCUAGUAGGUGGGGUAAUGGCUCACCUAGGCGACGAUCCCUAGCUGGUCUUAGAGGAUGACAAGCCACACUGGAACUGAGACACGGCCCGGAAUCCUACGGGAGGCAGCAGUGGGGAAUAUUGCACAAUGGGCGAAAGCCUGAUGCAGCCAUGCCGCGUGUGUGAAGAAGGCCUUCGGGUUGUAAAGCACUUUCAGCGGGGAGGCGUUACCCGCAGAAGAAGCACUGGCUAACUCCGUGCCAGCAGCCGCGGUAAUAC
rnacentral:rRNA from 1 species